rnacentral:lncRNA from 1 species
ACACACAAAGAAACACUGUCUGAAAAAAAAAAUGAAAAGAAACAAGAGACAGACAGACAGGCAGGCAGACAGACAGAUAGACAUGCAGACAGGCAGACAGAUGGGCAGACAGACAGACAGACAUUAUGGGAGGAAAUGAAAAGCAAGGCAACUGAAAAAGGAAGGCAGAAGAGAAGAGGGAGGUGAGAGGCACCUUGGGGACCGAAGCUGGCUCAGAGCACAGAGGCUGCAUACACCUCAAGUUGGAAGACGCCCAGUCGCUAUGGGGCAAGCUUCCACCUUAAGAGCUGUGGAACACCAACCAACAGGGAGCACCAAAAGCAAAAUACUGAGCUCUGGGUCUGAGUGGAUUUGGAAAAGCCAUGAAAUCAUUACCACCAUAACAAUAGAGCGUGGGGCUAGCAAGAUGGCUCAGCAAGUAACCGUACUUGGUGCCAAGCUUGAGAGUUUUCUUCCAGCCUUCACAUACAUUCUGUGGAACUGGCGCACGCAUGCACAUGCACACGCACACGCACAUGCUCAUGUGCGCACAAUGGGGUGGGUGUAUGCACGUGCCUGUGCUUUUGUGUAUCAGUGUGUGCCUAUGUGUGUGAGUAUAUGUGCAUGUGUAUAAGUGUAUGUGAGUGUGUGCAUUAAAAAGUAAACUGUGGACAACUCA